rnacentral:rRNA from 1 species
UACGGGGGGGGCAAGGGUUGUUCGGAAUUACUGGGCGUAAAGGGCUCGUAGGGGGCCCCAUAAGUCAGACGUGAAAUCCCUCGGCUCAACCGAGGAACUGCGUCUGAGACUGCGGGGCUUGAAUCCGGGAGAGGGAUGCGGAAUUCCAGGUGUAGCGGUGAAAUGCGUAGAUAUCUGGAGGAACACCGGUGGCGAAGGCGGCAUCCUGGACCGGUAUUGACACUGAGGCGCGAAAGCGUGGGGAGCAAACAGG